ACCUGGCUGGCUCAGUUUGGAAGAGCAUGUGACUGUUGAUCUCAGGGUUGUGAGUUCAAGCCCCACGUUGGGUG